rnacentral:ncRNA from 1 species
GCAAUGCACUAGGGGAGCCCGUACGGGCUGAGACGGAAGUUUCCGGACCCUUCGAACCUGAUCUGGAUCAUACCAGCGUAGGGAAGUGUUGAGAAUGGCUU